GUAUAAUUUGGCUAAUACGAAGGUGUACAGAACCGUAGCUAAGGAUGAUACAGAGGGGCUUUGCUGGAAGGCGUCGCCAUGGCCAACCUCGACGGUAUCCUCCGCCAGCUCGGUGACCUCGCUAAGUGAGUUUUGCGUUUUUAAUGUUUGAGGAGUCAGAUUAGUCGUCAUUUGGACUCUGUUUUGACGCAAUGCGAUGAACUGGGGCUUUAUCGUUAACAAGUCUUUUGAACUCAGAUUUAUUUAUAGUGUGUUUGAUUGACAUGGAAAAUAUCACUUAAAAAAUAUUUUUCAUCGAAAAAUAAAAAUCACCUCUUAAAAUAUUUUCUUCUUUUUAAGGAAAAUUAGGCAUAUUUUCAAAAAUUGAAAAAUAUUUUCUAUAAAAGAAAUAGCAAUCAAAGUAGGAAUUUGGAUGGAAAAUUGAUAUUUUCCAUGGAAAUGUAAUCAAAUACACCCAAGUUCUAUUUUUGGUUUGUGAUUAUGUUAAUUUCUGAUUUGUGGAAAAAUGAAGUUUGAAUGGCUUAUCUGUGUUUCACGGUCGAGGAUUAUAAGCUUAAACGGUUUUUUUACGCUCUAUAGGAUUUCAAAAAAUAUUGGAUUAUUUUUCAGUUACAAAUAAAUGAAAACAAAGGUCCAUUUAAUGCACAAUGAAAUAUGUCUAUUGAACUUGUGGAAUUCAAAUGACUAGUUUUUACCCAACAAGUAGGUUGUUCUAUAUGUGGGCACCUUUAUCUAGGGUUGAGUAUAUACAAAUUUAAACCAUUUUUGCCGUCAUUUUACAAUAUUGUUUGAUACAUUAAGUGUUUGCAGUGCAGUAUUAUCAUGCAUCUGUUUCGUAAGUUAGUGCAGGUUGAUCUGCUUAGAUUCCUUCAUGAUUUUGCCUUUUUUCACAUUAUUUCAAAAUAGUAUCCUACAUAUUCUUGGUUCUGAAGAUCUGUUGUAGGCAGUAGACUAGAACAUAUAUUGUUCCUCAUUUUCUAAUUAAGGCUUCUGUAUAUACUUGUCACUGAACUUCUGGUACAGAGAUCGACUUGAACUUCGAAUAUUUGUAUGGUUUAUGACACAUUUUAGGCUUUUUUCUGUAGUUCAAACAUUUUUUAAUGAAUAGAAUAAGUUCCCAAAAGAAGACUAGACUAUAUCAAGGGUUUGCAGAAUCAUUUCAAGUGGAUGAUAUGCCAGGGUCCAAAACCUUUGUCAGAGGCAGAACCAUCAAUCCAAAUGAGAGGCUGAAGAAUGACUCUAAAAGUCAGUUGCAAAUGACUAAAAUUGUCUGAGUUAUUUCCACAGAAACUUUUGGAAAGAACUUAAUAUUGAUUUUUUUAUGUAAUGUGGAUAAAUGAAUGGUCUCAUUUUUUUUUGUAGACACAUGAAUAAGAUAAUGGGCCUAUUCUAUUGUUCAUUAAUGGCAGGUGUAAAAUCCAAAGAUGAGGGUUCUGGUUUAAAGGGGAGGAGGUAACAAAUGCUUUUGAUAAGCUAUUUUCAUAAUUGUUGUAUGGUUAGUUAUUCUGAUUAUGAUAAUCAUGUGGUGGUGUUCUCAAAUACAUGCACUAUGAGAAUUUACAAUAAAGGUUUUGAAAUAUUGAAACAAUAUGUGACUGCAAUGAAAUAAUAACUUUUUGCGAGGAGGUUUAAUAGAAAUGUCGUAAAGGCUCAAACAAUUUUCUAUGUAAUGUUUACCAUAAAAAUUAGUUAUUAAGAUAGUAGGGAGUGAAAUACAAUUCUAAGUUGGCAAGUUCUGAUUUUGGCUACCAUAGUCAAUUCUUAAUAGUUGUCGCACUGUGCAAAUAUUUUGCUUUGAAGAGAAUAGGAUGUCAAUGAAUAUAGCAUCAAGACAUAUUAUUAACAUUAAGAUAGAUGGUUAAGGAUUUCCAUCAACAGUAUAAUUGUCUAUGAUUCUUUUACGUAUUCAGAAUUUGUGUGAUUUGAUGAUUUAGAUGGCCAAGGGACAAAAGUUUAAGAAUGCCAUACAAACUGUGCUAAUGAUUUUAGAUGUUGCUCUUCAGGUUCAUGUUUAGCACAAGUUAUACUGGAGAUUAAUAUUGAGUAAAG
rnacentral:lncRNA from 1 species